CCGCUUUUAAAAGCACUCAGUUGAGCGUUUUGCCAGUGAUUCACUGAGCCACCCAAAUGGGCUGAUUAAAAAACCCUUUUGGGUGAAUCGGCAACAUCUCGUGUUCAGCUUCAAUCAGUGAUGUGACCAAA
rnacentral:snoRNA from 1 species